AGAGCACCCGGACCCGCGGCGGCAGCGGCAGCGACGCUACCCACCCUCUUCCCCAACACCCACCUAGCCAGCGAGUCACCGAGCCACCGGCCCUCGGGCCGGCGCCUCGGUUCCUGCCCAGCUGGAUUUGGGGGGCAGCAUUGCCUGGCGCAGGGAGAUCAAAUGAGACUGCAAAGAAGCAUAAAAUGAAUAGACAAUCCAACCAACCAAAGGAAAUUGCUUUGGAGAUGAGGAAACAAACUCUUAUGGAGACCUAAGAGACUGAAGACAUCUGGCGUGGACUACUCUGAUGGUAAAAUUGAAAGUACACCUAAAUUUGCUUUGUUACAGGAUUCUCUUCAGAGGACAAGAGAAGAUGUUACAUUCUCUGCAUGAGGACAAUUCUGCAGCAUCAAAAUCGAAUAAUAUUUGUUUUCUGGCAGCAGAAUUUUGUAUCAUAUUUCUAAAGA
rnacentral:lncRNA from 1 species